AACAACCUGGGAUGAACUGACCAUGACCCCCAUUCCCAUCUCCCUGCACUGCCAGGGGGGUGGAGGUAGAACUUGGGAAGAAGGAAGGGGUGGGGGGAAGGUGUUUUUAAGUUUUAUGUUAUCUCUCAUUAUCCUUCUCUGAAUUUGUCAGUAAUAAAUUUAAUUAAUAUCCCCAUUUUGAGUCUGUUUUGCCCAUGACAGUAAUCGGUGAGUGAUCUCUCCUGGUCCUUGUAUCAACUCAUGAACCUUUAGUUGUAUUUUCUUUCCUCUGUCCAGUUGCAGAGUGGAGUGAGAGAGUGGCUUUGGUGGGUACUUUUUGUUGAGCCAGGGUCAACCCACCACAAUCAGGAGGACUGAAUUUCAUGUGUCACGUUCUCAUUGACACCGAUCUGCCAAGGAGCAAUCAUUUUUCCCCUUUCACAGUUUGUGUGACUCAAAGAGAAUUGAGGCUCUUUUGUGCCAGGGUGAUUUCUUACUGAGUUGUACAGGAUUUUUGUCUGAUCUGCAAGGUCCUUGGAGCAUAAGUUGAUUAUAAAAUGGCAAAUGUUGUUGCUUGAUUAGUAAUAGAACCACAGCCUCUUUCUCCACCUUCAUAAUACAAAGUAGUGAAAAUGAUCUGAUUUUGGUUUUGAGUGGUUUAAUUUAAAAAGAGAAGGUUAUAAACACAUAACUUUACUAUUAGAAAGGUUGAAGGGCCUGGCCAAGAGUAUGACUUGCAAACAAAUUAGGGCCAGAAUUGUCUUACAGAAUUAAACCUUUACUGCUAAAAAACGAUCUUUGUUGUUGAUCCCCAUGUUGAGGGGCUGGGUUUUGGCCAGGCAGGCCUUGAUUCAAUUCCUGUCUUAAGUAAACUGCUAUAAAGCUGCUUUGCUUUUACUGAGUAUUUUCUGUGGGCAAUUAAUCCGUAUCUCCAGGAGAGCUUCAGCAUAGGCUGUGGUUGUAGUUGCACAAUCCCUGAGGUUGCCAAAUAAUCACAUGCAUUUGUUUUGUUUGGGAAAACUUCCCUGUGAUGAUUUGUUUAAAAAAAACAAAACCAAAACAACCACAGAGCAAUCAUCGGUGGUGGGAGCGAGGGUGAGUGUGGGAUGCAGAACCAAAAACCCACAAAAAAUCCUCUCAAAAUCCAGAAAUACGAAUAAGUGACCAAUUUGUAAAUCCCUGGGAGACUGAGCUAAUUUCAUGUGUGAUAAUUCUGUGAGAGUAGUGAGCUUUUCUAGUGUAUAGGGGAAAGAGAAGAGGUGUCCCUGUGCCCUGAAGCACAGCUGGUGCCUGAGGGAACUCAGACCAGAAAGGUUCCAGUUCCUCUGCUAUUGGCACUGGCAGGGCUCCGAAUCCCUUCGGAGGUGGCUGCUGCAAAGGGUUCCCAUCACACCUAAGGAACAGCAGGGACAGGACAAAUGUUCCAGGUCAGAUGUUUCUUUCAGAAUUUCUGGAAGGAGCUGCCCAACUAAACAGAACCUGUGCUCAGUGUUUAAGCUGUGCUCGAGGCUGGGUUAUAGAACAUCUCCUCCGUUGGAUGUCCUGCAGCUGAGGCCAAAGCUGUGCACUUCCCAGCGGGCAGCAGAGCUGUGCCGCACCCUUAGCAGAGGUGGAGAAAUCCUGGGCAGAAGCUCAUGACCAGAAGCAGCAUUUUCAAGAGAAAAAGGAGGCAGCCCAUAACUGAGACAGUUUAAAAGAAGAACACCUAGAGGUGAACAGAGAGGUGGGGACUUCACACCAAGAAUGCUCUGCCUUCAAACACCUGGUUUCAUCUCACAUCUUCGAACGGUUAAGAUGGAAAAUGAGGAGGGAGAUUGCACAUCUACAAGGAAAUUUCCUUCCUGAAUUUAAGGACUACUUCUUGUGCAUCUGUGAAGUACUGAGCAAAGUGUCUGGGAAAUCAAGGUGGAGCUCUCAGAGGCUCUGGGAAGGAAAACUAUGGGAAAUUGGAGGUCACCAUGGAAACGUUCGCUGGAGCAGGAAAUGAAACUGCUGUGUUGAUCAAGUGAGUAAUCAUUUCUCUACAGCCCAAAAAGUGCAGUGCACCUCCCCUGCCCCUCAUGGCUUUGUCUCCUCCAGCAGCCUGGCCAGGGCUCUCCCUGCUUCGGAAGCGUUCUUGGUAUGGAAUUGGGAGAGCCCUGCACUUCCCAGCUUGGCUCCCGGGGCUGUUUAAGGUUCGGAUGUCAGCUGUACCCCAGGAUGGUUCCUGGUUUGUUGUCAGUACUGGGAGGGGGGAUUAGUAUCGAUGCUUCUCCUGUUACCCAGAAACUGAAAUAUUAACUCAGCAAACCACCUAAGCUUAAAAUAAUAUAGAAAAGCCCAAGGCCUUAAGUCCUUCCCGUGCUUUAUGCCUCUGUGAAAGAAUGCAGAGCUGGCUUAAACACGUACCUGAUGCCUCGUUUGUGACUCUGCUGUGGAGGCAACUGCUUUCCAAAGGAACAGCUGGGAUUGGGUUCUCCAGCCUUAGAUUUGGGUGAUGUCACCUAUCCUGAAUAACAGUGGCAGUGCAGCACCCCAGG